rnacentral:rRNA from 1 species
GACGAACGCUGGCGGCGUGCCUAAUACAUGCAAGUUGAGCGCUGAAGGUUGGUACUUGUACCAACUGGAUGAGCAGCGAACGGGUGAGUAACGCGUGGGGAAUCUGCCUUUGAGCGGGGGACAGCAUUUGGAAACGAAUGCUAAUACCGCAUAAAAACUUUAAACACAAGUUUUAAGUUUGAAAGAUGCAAUUGCAUCACUCAAAGAUGAUCCCGCGUUGUAUUAGCUAGUUGGUGAGGUAAAGGCUCACCAAGGCGAUGAUACAUAGCCGACCUGAGAGGGUGAUCGGCCACAUUGGGACUGAGACACGGCCCAAACUCCUACGGGAGGCAGCAGUAGGGAAUCUACGGCAAUGGACGAAAGUCUGACCGAGCAACGCCGCGUGAGUGAAGAAGGUUUUCGGAUCGUAAAACUCUGUUGGUAGAGAAGAACGUUGGUGAGAGUGGAAAGCUCAUCAAGUGACGGUAACUACCCAGAAAGGGGCGGCUAACUACGUG